UACGUAGACCUCAAGCGUUAUCCGGAUUUAUUGGGCGUAAAGCGCAUGCAGGAGGCUUCAUACGUCUGUGGUUAAAUCCCACCGCCUAACGGUGGAACUGCCAUGGAAACGGCGAAGCUGGAGGAGGUUAGAGGUGCAUAGAACGCACGGUGUAGGGGUGAAAUCCGUUGAUAUCGUGCGGAAUACCAAAGGCGAAGGCAGUGCACUGGGACCUUCCUGACUCUAAGAUGCGAAAGCGUGGGGAGCAAAAAGG
rnacentral:rRNA from 1 species